rnacentral:ncRNA from 1 species
GCAAAUGUGGUGAUUUGAGCCAGUCGGCUUGCGACCACACAAAAAAAUCGCUAAAAAAGGCUGG